AUUGAACGCUGGCGGCAUGCCUUACACAUGCAAGUCGAACGGCAGCAUGGGUGCUUGCACCUGAUGGCGAGUGGCGAACGGGUGAGUAAUGCAUCGGAACGUACCCGGAAGUGGGGAUAACGUAGCGAAAGUUACGCUAAUACCGCAUAUUCUGUGAGCAGGAAAGAGGGGGAUCGCAAGACCUCUCGCUUUCGGAGCGGCCGAUGUCGGAUUAGCUAGUUGGCGGGGUAAAGGCCCACCAAGGCAACGAUCCGUAGCGGGUCAGAGAGGAUGAUCCGCCACACUGGGACUGAGACACGGUCCAGACUCCUACGGGAGGCAGCAGUGGGGAAUUUUGGACAAUGGGGGCAACCCUGAUCCAGCCAUGCCGCGUGAGUGAAGAAGGCCUUCGGGUUGUAAAGCUCUUUCGGCUGGGAAGAAAUCGCAUCUCCUAAUACGGGGUGUGGAUGACGGUACCAGCAUAAGGAGCACCGGCUAACUACGUGCCAGCAGCCGCAGUAA
rnacentral:rRNA from 1 species